GGUGAUUGACCACCACCAAGUGUGUUAGUGCUCUGGCUUGUGCUGGGAACAGCCCUAUAUAGAUAUUGAGGUCAAUACUGCUAAGGGUGCGCACUCUCAUGCUGUCGAAAGCACAUAACUCAUGGUGGUAGAGGGGCUAGUGCUCUAGCUUCUAGGUCGAGGCGAGAGAUCACUAGGGAGAAAAGGAUAUCAACUGAGCUAUCUUUCUCAAGGAGGGCAUAGGGUAUGUUCU
rnacentral:lncRNA from 1 species